UUUUUGUGAACCGCGGGGUGCUAAGCAUAUCAAUAAGCGGAGGAAAAGAAACUAACAAGGAUUCCCCUAGUAACUGCGAGUGAAGCGGGAAAAGCUCAAAUUUAAAAUCUGGCAGUCUAUGGCUGUCCGAGUUGUAAUCUAGAGAAGUGAUGCCCGCGCUGGACCGUGUACAAGUCUCCUGGAAUGGAGCGUCAUAGAGGGUGAGAAUCCCGUCUCUGACACGGACUACCAGGGCUUUGUGGUAUGCUCUCAAAGAGUCGAGUUGUUUGGGAAUGCAGCUCUAAAUGGGUGGUAAAUUCCAUCUAAAGCUAAAUAUUGGCGAGAGACCGAUAGCGAACAAGUACCGUGAGGGAAAGAUGAAAAGAACUUUGGAAAGAGAGUUAAACAGUACGUGAAAUUGCUGAAAGGGAAACGCUUGAAGUCAGUCGCGUUAGCUGGAGAUCAGCCUCGCUGUUGCGUGGUGUACUUUCUGGUUGACGGGUCAGCAUCAAUUUUGACUGCUGGAAAAAGGCCUUGGGAAUGUGGCAGCUUCGGCUGUGUUAUAGCCCUUGGUCACAUACAGCUGUUGGGAUUGAGGAACUCAGCACGCCGCAAGGCCGGGUUUCGACCACGUUCGUGCUUAGGAUGCUGGCAUAAUGGCUUUAAGCGACCCGUCUUGAAACACGGACCAAGGAGUCUAACAUGCCUGCGAGUGUUUGGGUGGUAAACCCUCUCGCGUAAUGAAAGUGAAAGUUGAGAUCCCUGUCGUGGGGAGCAUCGACGCCCGGACUUGAACUUUUGUGACGGAUCCGCGGUAGAGCAUGUAUGUUGGGACCCGAAAGAUGGUGAACUAUGCCUGAAUAGGGUGAAGCCAGAGGAAACUCUGGUGGAGGCUCGUAGCGAUUCUGACGUGCAAAUCGAUCGUCAAAUUUGGGUAUAGGGGCGAAAGACUAAUCGAACCAUCUAGUAGCUGGUUCCUGCCG
rnacentral:rRNA from 1 species